CUUCCAUUUCUCUGUGUCUUUGCAAGUUGCUUGUCCUCCUACCGAUGGUCCCAAGAUGUCAUGGCACCAGACAUAGGGAAUCUGUGUGAGUGAUGUCGAUGGUCUGUCUGUCCAGCUUGUCCCUAAAUUGAACCCAAGAAGAGAAGGAUCCUAGAAUCAUCAUUUUGCUGGGACAUCAUCUGUGUUCCACGCCUUGUGGAACACAUUUCUCUCUUCUGUCUGACUUGUCCUCUGAGCAACACUAAGCUCAUAGGAAGAUAUUUUUUUUUUACCUAAUCCGAGAAGAAAGGUGUGACUUAUUCCACUUUGAGGUGGAAAUAGCACCCUAUAACCCAACGCUUUCCAAACCACCAUCUACUAUUCUGGCAAAGGAGAUUCCCCAGGAUCCUAUGCUGGUCUUAGUCACUGUACCAGGCUGAGCUGCUCAAGAGAGCUCAGCAGGACCUCUCAGGAGUUUCUGUCUAGCGGUUUGGAGAUCUGGCUUGCCAUUCUGUUCAAAGUAAUGCGACUACACUGUUCGCCUGCUCCCAUCCACUGGAAUAUGCACUUUUGUUUCGGGACCAGUCUUUCUACUCAGAGUCUUCUGAAGUACCACAAACAUGAGUUGUAGCAGGACGCCACUCUUCUUCUAAGCUGCUCCGUGGGACAGAUGGAAGGACACCAGUGCAUGUCCACAUGUGCAGCUGAUGACCCUAGGAAGAUGGAGCCUCACCCCCACAGUUUGAAGAAAACAAUGACAUGGCAUCCCAUCACAACCGCAUAUUCCUUGUGAAUCUGAAUACCGUUCAAAUGGAGAAAUGAAAACGGAGCAUCCAGAUGUGCAGUGAAUAUUUUGUGUGACUCACAUCAGGAAUUGGCCUGAGCAUUGAGUUCAUCCCUUGUGCACUGCACUGAGGAGCUGUUCGCUCCGUGUCAUUAGUGCACCUGAUUUGCUGCAGUCCCUGCUUCAACUCAGGCCACAACUGGGUUGGUUAGGUGAGUUUCUGAUUGGGGUGGAGGGACGCUUGCCCUUUAAACCUAUCUGACAUACUUUUGUUCUUCCUUAUUUCUUUCCCCCUUUCCCAUUUAUCAUAAUAAAGAAACAAACAGCUUUCAAACCUGGGCUACCCAGGCAAUGUCCCUGAAAAAAUGUCAUACAUAGAGAGCUGCUUCUCCUGGACCUGGUCUCCACAAUGAGGAUGACUGGGUGGCUGGUCAAGAAUGAAAUUCACACCAGGGCGAGAUUCAGAAUCACAAGAGGGCUGGCAACAUGUCUGUCUGUCCACUGAGUGCUUGUUUCCCUUGUGAGAUGUGAGUACAUUCCCCAGCAAGCAUGGGAAAGAAGCAGCAGGCCUGCUGAGGCUUGCUACCAAGCACUUGGACAUAGAGACAAAG
rnacentral:lncRNA from 1 species